rnacentral:rRNA from 1 species
AGUGGGGGGCGGAAGGCCUGAUCCAGCAAUGCCGCGUGUGUGAAGAAGGCCUUCGGGUUGUAAAGCACUUUUGUCCGGAAAGAAAUCCUUGGCUCUAAUACCGUCGGGGGAUGACGGUACCGGAAGAAUAAGCACCGGCUAACUACGUGCCAGCAGCCGCGGUAAUACGUAGGGUGCAAGCGUUAAUCGGAAUUACUGGGCGUAAAGCGUGCGCAGGCGGUUUGCUAAGACCGAUGUGAAAUCCCCGGGCUCAACCUGGGAACUGCAUUGGUGACUGGCAGGCUAGAGUAUGGCAGAGGGGGGUAGAAUUCCACGUGUAGCAGUGAAAUGCGUAGAGAUGUGGAGGAAUACCGAUGGCGAAGGCAGCCCCCUGGGCCAAUACUGACGCUCAUGCACGAAAGCGUGGGGAGCAAACAGGAUUAGAUACCCUGGUAGUCCACGCCCUAAACGAUGUCAACUAGUUGUUGGGGAUUCAUUUCCUUAGUAACGUAGCUAACGCGUGAAGUUGACCGCCUGGGGAGUACGGUCGCAAGAUUAAAACUCAAAGAAA